AGCAAGCAAUCCCAUUCAUAAUAUAAAAUAAAAUAAAAUAAAAAACGCCAGUCGUGAUCGGAAAAGGAGUCGAAUACUGGGUAUUGGUGGUGUCGUACGCCGUCUCCGAUUCAAUUCUCUCUUUUCUAAAUCGCAGCAUCCCCUAUCCAGUCUCGGACUCUCCUCCUACUUUCUUUCCCAUCUUCCACGACUGUUCCCCAAUCGCAAUCCCUGAUUCAGAGCGAUGGCAUCUUCUGCGGACUCAUGGAUGAAGGAAUAUAAUGAAGCAGUAAAACUUGGUGAUGAUAUUAGUGGUAUGAUAUCUGAGCGGAGUCAAUUUCCUGCGUCGGGUCCAGAAACUCAGCGUCAUGUCUCUGCUAUUCGGAGGAAAGUUACAAUAUUGGGGACUAGACUUGAUAGCUUACAGUCUGAAUUGUCAACACUUCCCGGAAAGCAGCACAUAUCAGCCAAAGAGAUGAAUCGUCGGAAGGACAUGGUUGGAAAUUUGAGAUCAAAAGUUAACCAGAUGUCUUCAACAUUGACAUCACACGCUGGCAACAGAGACAGCUUGCUUGGACCUGAAAUAAGUAAAGCUGAUGCCAUGGGCCGAACAACUGGCCUGGACAACUAUGGCCUUGUUGGUUUUCAGCGGCAAGUUAUGAAAGAACAAGAUGAGGGGCUUGACAGAUUGGAGGAGACUGUAGUAAGCACUAAACAUAUUGCAUUGGCAGUCAACGAAGAACUCACUCUGCACACAAGGCUCAUCGAUGAUUUGGAUGAACAUGUGGAUGUUACUGACUCCCGGCUACGGCGAGUGCAGAAGAAUUUGGCAGCUUUGAAUAAACGCACAAAGGGUGGUUGCUCCUGCAUGUGCAUGCUUUUAGCUGUGCUUGGUAUUGUGGGUCUGGUUGCUGUGAUAUUCUUGUUGAUCAAAUACUUGUAAUUAUAUUAACUCUUGAGUCCAUAGGGCACAAUGAACUCCUGUUUGCUGCUGUUUGUGUGUGAUGCUAUGGAAUGAUCUUUAAAUAAUUGUAAAUUUUCAUUGCGAGCUUUGAAGUACUUAACUUCUGUCA